rnacentral:rRNA from 1 species
CACGUAGUUAGCCGUGGCUUUCUGAUUAGGUACCGUCAAGGUGCGCAUAGUUACCUACGCACUUGUUCUUCCCUAAUAACAGAGUUUUACGAUCCGAAGACCUUCAUCACUCACGCGGCGUUGCUCCGUCAGGCUUUCGCCCAUUGCGGAAGAUUCCCUACUGCUGCCUCCCGUAGGAGUCUGGACCGUGUCUCAGUUCCAGUGUGGCCGAUCACCCUCUCAGGUCGGCUACGUAUCGUUGCCUUGGUAAGCCGUUACCUUACCAACUAGCUAAUACGGCGCGGGUCCAUCUAUAAGUGACAGCAAAACCGUCUUUCAUUGCAGAACCAUGCGGUUCCGCAUAUUAUCCGGCAUUAGCCCCGGUUUCCCGGAGUUGUUCCAGUCUUAUAGGUAGGUUACCCACGUGUUACUCACCCGUCCGCCGCUAACGUCAGAGGAGCAAGCUCCUCAUCUGUUCGCUCGACUUGCAUGUAUUAGGCACGCCGCCAGCGUUCAUCCUGAGCCAGGAUA